UGGGGAAUAUUGCACAAUGGGCGCAAGCCUGAUGCAGCGACGCCGCGUGCGGGAUGACGGCCUUCGGGUUGUAAACCGCUUUUGAUCGGGAGCAAGCCUUCGGGUGAGUGUACCUUUCGAAUAAGCACCGGCUAACUACGUGCCAGCAGCCGCGGUAAUACGUAGGGUGCAAGCGUUAUCCGGAAUUAUUGGGCGUAAAGGGCUCGUAGGCGGUUCGUCGCGUCCGGUGUGAAAGUCCAUCGCUUAACGGUGGAUCUGCGCCGGGUACGGGCGGGCUGGAGUGCGGUAGGGGAGACUGGAAUUCCCGGUGUAACGGUGGAAUGUGUAGAUAUCGGGAAGAACACCAAUGGCGAAGGCAGGUCUCUGGGCCGUUACUGACGCUGAGGAGCGAAAGCGUGGGGAGCGAACAGGAUUAGAUACCCUGGUAGUCCACGCCGUAAACGGUGGAUGCUGGAUGUGGGGACCAUUCCACGGUCUCCGUGUCGGAGCCAACGCGUUAAGCAUCCCGCCUGGGGAGUACGGCCGCAAGGCUAAAACUCAAAGAAAUUGACGGGGGCCCGCACAAGCGGCGGAGCAUGCGGAUUAAUUCGAUGCAACGCGAAGAACCUUACCUGGGCUUGACAUGUUCCCGACAGCCGUAGAGAUGCGGCCUCCCUUCGGGGCGGGUUCACAGGUGGUGCAUGGUCGUCGUCAGCUCGUGUCGUGAGAUGUUGGGUUAAGUCCCGCAACGAGCGCAACCCUCGCCCUGUGUUGCCAGCACGUCAUGGUGGGAACUCACGGGGGACCGCCGGGGUCAACUCGGAGGAAGGUGGGGAUGACGUCAGAUCAUCAUGCCCCUUACGUCCAGGGCUUCACGCAUGCUACAAUGGCCGGUACAACGGGAUGCGACAUGGCGACAUGGAGCGGAUCCCUGAAAACCGGUCUCAGUUCGGAUUGGAGUCUGCAACCCGACUCCAUGAAGGCGGAGUCGCUAGUAAUCGCGGAUCAGCAACGCCGCGGUGAAUGCGUUCCC
rnacentral:rRNA from 1 species